GUUUAGACCGUCGUGAGACAGGUUAGUUUUACCCUACUGACGACCAUAGAAGAAAUGUUAUUGCGAUAGUAAUCCUGCGAAGUACGAGAGGAACCGCAGGUUCGGACAGUUGGUUGGCGCACUUGGUCGAGCGGCCAGUGGUGCGAGGCUACGUCCGGAUGAUUAUACCUGAAGGCCUCUGAAGGUAGAAUCGAUGCUGGAGGAAGGCAAUGAUACGCAGCGUCUUUUGACUCGUUUCGACGUUUUAUCUGGGUGGCUAUAACGAGACCCGUCUCGGUUAGAGAUUAAAACUCGCUCCAUCAGCGAGGGGGUUCCGGCCUUUUCGUUUCGUUUCGGACGAAUGCCUGGUCGGCGCUUCAUUCUCGAGYCCGCGGGUUUUCAGAGGGGAGGUUCGCUGACGGCUAUGCUGGGUAUCCGCUACGGGAAUGCCAGUCAUGCUCCGGUUCGCCUCUUUCUUUUUACCCGACUAAAG
rnacentral:rRNA from 1 species